GGCUUGUUCUCGGCUGUACUGAAAGGAUUUUUCCUAAAACUUCACUUGACAUUGAUGAUGAUGGAGAUAAUCUGCAAGGAGGAAGAGGAGAGAGUUUCUGAGCCAGAGCAGGUCAUUCCGGGGCUGUCCACUUAAAUAAAGCCCUGGCUUAGAAAACCCCAAACACGCUAAAGUGGAUACUGUAAUGGGAUUUAUGCAAUACUCUGUUAAGGGCAAACCCAGCCCCAUAAAUACAUGUCUGAAAUUCAAUCUGCCAAAUGAAACGUUAAAGGCGCCAAAUGGAUUUCUCGAAAGGAUCAGAGCUACGAUGUAGUUUGCCUGCACUUGAUAAGCUUAUCCAGCCUUGCCGCCAGGAAAGAAAAAGAGCGAGCGAGAGAGAGAGACAGAGCGCGCGGGGGUGGGAGGAGGAAAUGGAGUUAAGGAUUUUACUGUAUUCUCCAGUAUCUUAGAUAUUUUCUUUUUCAAUGAAAAAGGGAGAAAGAGAUGAUCAGACUUCUGGCUGUGAAACCAGUGUUCCUGAUCCUGACUACAUCCUGGGCUGCAGAGGGACUGCUAUUAAAUCUCUAGCUGGAGCCCCAGGUCCAUCCCUCCAGCCCCAAAGCCUCCUCGACAGGGCUCCUUCCAUACCUGGUCAGCUCCGAUACCUGGGCCCCGCACCCAGGUGACCCACAUCAUGUCACGGCUGGACAGGCACGUGGGCCAGCUCGAGUCCCCAUCCCCAUCCCCAAGUUCCGCCUUUGACUUCAGCAGCUGCCACCAAGUGUAUUUGUGAGUGACGAAGUGAGUUAGGUGGAGAAAAGUAGUUAAGACUGUGCAUCAUUCUAGACACUUCCUUCUGGCCCCUCCCCCUUCUCAUGUUUUAUGAUUGUCCCUCCUCCACUAGGGAUAUACCAUCUCCUGCAAGGGGUUUGGAUUGUCCUAUUUUUUCCAAAGGAGGGGAUAGUGUAAUAGCUCAGGAUCUCGAAAGAUGUUUCUGGUACUGUCGGAGGCGCGCCAAAGCUAUGUGGCCCAUGAGAGCUUUUCACGUUCUUCUAAGCCCAGGAGAGUUGCUUCUGGCAUCGGCAUGUGACCCCAGAGAGUCACUUUCAGGGUGACAGCGUGCUUCAAAGAACAUGCCAUCUUGGUGGGUACGUGAGUCAGUGAGUGUUGUGAGGGGGUGAAUUUGCUCUCAGCAUGGCAAGUUUCCUCUUCCUCUUCGAUUUCCCGCGGAUGGACUCGCCUUCGCCACAUGCUCUCACUCUCCAUUCCGCUUGGGCCAAGGCCUUGGCGAGCCCGGUGGCCUGGGGUUGGGGUGGAGCUCGCGGCUGUGGGUCGUGGAGGCAUCUUCCGAGGCAUCGCCCUGCUGGGCCCGGAUGAUGCUCUGACCACAGAUGAAUUCGGUCCUUGGUGGACAAUCGAGGACCUGCUCCUGCCGGUUUACUCCCCUCCCUUGGCGAGUCACUUGGCGCGUCCCUUCUGGGGUAUUUGUCUCGGUCAGAGAGAGUGAGGAGUUCCCGUCGUGGCGCAGUGGUUAACGAAUCUGACUAGGAACCAUGAGGUUGCGGGUUCGGUCCCUGCCCUUGCUCAGUGGGUUAAGGAUCCGGCGUUGCUGUGAGCUGUGGUGUAGGUUGCAGACGCGGCUCGGAUCCCGCGUUGCUGUGGCUCUGGGGUAGGCCCGUGGCUACAGCUCCGAUUCGACCUCUACCCUGGGAACCUCCAUAUGCCGCGGGAGCGGCCCAAAGAAAU
rnacentral:lncRNA from 1 species